CAAAACGUAGCUUAACCAAAGCACCUCGCUUACACCGAGUCCAUACCUGUUAAACCCGGGUCGUUUUGA
rnacentral:tRNA from 1 species